rnacentral:rRNA from 1 species
CGGAGGCUACCGCUAUUGGAGUUCGAUUAAGCCAUGCGAGUCGAGAGUCCUCGGGACUCGGCGUACCGCUCAGUAACACGUGGGUAACCUGCCCUAUGCUGGGGAAUAACCUCGGGAAACUGAGAAUAAUGCCCCAUAGCCCACUACGCCUGGAACGGUGAGUGGGUCAAAGCUCCGGCGGCAUAGGAUGGGCCUGCGCCGUAUCAGGUUGUAGGGGGUGUAAAGUACCCUCUAGCCAUCAACGCGUACGGGUGUUGGGAGACAUUGCCCGGAGAUGGAUUCUGAGACAUGAAUCCAGAYCCUACGGGGUGCAGCAGGCRCGAAAACUUGGCAAUGCGAGCAAUCGUGACCAGGGAACUCCAAGKGCGUAGGGUAAGACCUACGCUUUUCUUGACUCUUCAAAGGUCUUGGAAUAAGGGGUGGGUAAGGACGGUGCCAGCCGCCGCGGUAAUACCGGCGCCUCAAGKGGUAKWCGCUUUUAUUGGGUCUAAAACGUCUGUAKYCGGUCUGGUGCAUUCGUGGGUAAAUCAACCCGCUCAACGGGUUGAAUUCUGCGAGCACGGCCAGACUUGGGACCGGGAGAGGUGUGGGGUACUCUCAGGGUAGGGGUAAAAUCCUGUCAUCCUGAGAGGACCACCUGUUGCGAAGGCGCCACACUAGAACGGAUCCGACGGUCAGGGACGAAACCUAGGGGCACGAACCGGAUUAGAUACCCGGGUAGUCCUAGGUGUAAACGCUGUGGACUUGAUGUUGGGGGCGCUCCGAGCGCUCUCAGUGUCGAAGCGAAGGUGAUAAGUCCACUGCCUGGGGAGUACGGUCGUAAGGCUGAAACUUAAAGGAAUUGGCGGGG